rnacentral:rRNA from 1 species
UACGUAGGGGGCAAGCGUUGUCCGGAAUCAUUGGGCGUAAAGAGCGUGUAGGCGGCUCGAUAAGUCCGCUGUGAAAGUCCAGGGCUCAACCCUGGAAGGCCGGUGGAAACUGUCGGGCUAGAGUCCGGAAGAGGCGAGUGGAAUUCCCGGUGUAGCGGUGAAAUGCGCAGAUAUCGGGAGGAACACCAAUGGCGAAGGCAGCUCGCUGGGACGUUACUGACGCUGAGACGCGAAAGCGUGGGGAGCAAACAGGG